CCUACGGGUGGCAGCAGUGGGGAAUAUUGCACAAUGGGCGAAAGCCUGAUGCAGCAACGCCGCGUGAAGGAAGAAGGGUUUCGGCUCGUAAACUUCUAUCAACAGGGACGAAAGAAAUGCCGGUACCUGAAUAAGAAGCCCCGCCAACCUACGUGCAAGCAGCCGAGGUAAAACGUAGGGGGCAAGCGUUAUCCGGAAUUAGUGGGUGUAAGGGGUGCGUAGGCGGCAUGGUAAGCCAGAUGUGAAAGCCUUGGGCUUAACCCGAGGAUGGCAUUUGAAACUUUCAAGCUAGAGUACAGGAGAGGAAAGCGGAAUUCCUAGUGUAGCGGUGAAAUGCGUAGAUAUUAGGAAGAACACCAGUGGCGAAGGCGGCUUUCUGGACUGAAACUGACGCUGAGGCACGAAAGCGUGGGGAGCGAACAGGAUUAGAUACCCUAGUAGUC
rnacentral:rRNA from 1 species